GAUGAACGCUGGCGGCGUGCCUAAUACAUGCAAGUCGAACGAAACUUCUUUAUCACCGAGUGCUUGCACUCACCGAUAAAGAGUUGAGUGGCGAACGGGUGAGUAACACGUGGGCAGCCUGCCCAAAAGAGGGGGAUAACACUUGGAAACAGGUGCUAAUACCGCAUAACCAUAGUUACCGCAUGGUAACUAUGUAAAAGGUGGCUAUACUACCGCUUUUGGAUGGGCCCGCGGCGCAUUAGCUAGUUGGUAGGGUAAAGGCUUACCAAGGCAAUGAUGCGUAGCCGAAUUGAGAGGUUGAUCGGCCACAUUGGGACUGAGACGCGGCCCAAACUCCUACGGGAGGCAGCAGUAGGGAAUCUUCCACAAUGGGCGAAAGCCUGAUGGAGCAACGCCGCGUGGGUGAAGAAGGUCUUCGGAUCGUAAAACCCUGUUGUUAGAGAAGAAAGUGCGUGAGAGUAACUGUUCACGUUUCGACGGUAUCUAACCAGAAAGCCACGGCUAACUACGUG
rnacentral:rRNA from 1 species